rnacentral:rRNA from 1 species
AACGACUCUCGGCAACGGAUAUCUCGGCUCUCGCAUCGAUGAAGAAUGGAGCGAAAUGCGAUACUUGGUGUGAAUUGCAGAAUCCCGUGAACCAUCGAGUCUUUGAACGCAAGUUGCGCCCGAAGCCAUUAGGCUGAGGGCACGUCUGCCUGGGCGUCACGU